rnacentral:rRNA from 1 species
UUUAAGUCUGAUGUGAAAGCCCCUGGCUCAACCAGGGAGGGUCAUUGGAAACUGGAGAACUUGAGUGCAGAAGAGGAAAGUGGAAUUCCAUGUGUAGCGGUGAAAUGCGUAGAUAUAUGGAGGAACACCAGUGGCGAAGGCGACUUUCUGGUCUGUAACUGACGCUGAGGCUCGAAAGCAUGGGGAGCAAACAGGAUUAGAUACCCUGGUAGUCCAUGCCGUAAACGAUGAGUGCUAAGUGUUGGAGGGUUCCGCCCUUCAGUGCUGCAGCUAACGCAUUAAGCACUCCGCCUGGGGAGUACGACCGCAAGGUUGAAACUCAAAGGAAUUGACGGGGGCCCGCACAAGCGGUGGAGCAUGUGGUUUAAUUCGAAGCAACGCGAAGAACCUUACCAGGUCUUGACAUCCUUUGACCACUCUAGAGAUAGAGCUUUCCCUUCGGGGACAAAGUGACAGGUGGUGCAUGGUUGUCGUCAGCUCGUGUCGUGAGAUGUUGGGUUAAGUCCCGCAACGAGCGCAACCCUUAUUAUUAGUUGCCAGCAUUCAGUUGGGCACUCUAGUGAGACUGCCGGUGAUAAACCGGAGGAAGGUGGGGAUGACGUCAAAUCAUCAUGCCCCUUAUGACCUGGGCUACACACGUGCUACAAUGGAUGGUACAACGAGUCGCAAAACCGCGAGGUUAAGCUAAUCUCUUAAAGCCAUUCUCAGUUCGGAUUGUAGGCUGCAAUUCGCCUACAUGAAGCCGGAAUCGCUAGUAAUCGCGGAUCAGAACGCCGCGGUGAAUACGUUCCCGGGCCUUGUACACACCGCCCGUCACACCACGAGAGUUUGUAACACCCAAAGUCGGUGAGGUAACCUUCGGGAGCCAGCCGCCUAAGGUGGGACAGAUAAUUGGGGUG